AAGGCGAGCGCCGGAUUCUGGACUGUGUCCCCCGGCACCCUGGGAUCCAGGGCCUGCGCUACUGGAAUCAUGCUCCUAGGGCAGUGCAGCCCCCU
rnacentral:pre_miRNA from 1 species